UCCAGCCGGGGCUCAAGUCCCCUCCCAUAGGAAAGAUGUGAAUUUGAUGCUGAGCCCCAGCGGACUAAAUGUGCAGGUUGCCGGAAGGCUGCAGCUCCAUGGCCAUACAUCAUCCCUUCCUCACCGAGAAUCACAUUCUCACCUCCCAAUACUUACGCUAUGAAGUUAACCUAUGUCCCUCCACGGCUCCCACCCUUUCAGGUUAUUGAUGCCGAAGGGAUGAGAACGGAAGGUCCAUCUUUACCAUUUUAUAGAUAGUUUUUAUGGGUGAGGGUGGGGAAGCGGGGGAUAGAUAUGCUCUUAAGAAAGGUGCUGUCAUUCUCCUAGUCAGUACCCAGGAAGGGUAGCCCGCUGGGUUGAACACUUGUUAACCACUACCCAUUUGCCAGCGACUGAACCAUAGGGGUCUGGUGAGAAAGAGGUCUAGAGUAAGCAUUUGGAUAUUAAUCUGGGCCCAGCUUUCUGUACUUCUGAGAGAUACCUGUGGGUUCCCAAGCCCUGGAGGACGGCAGGGCAUGGCUGGAACUUUGGCAAGGAGGCAGGAGGAAGCAGAUCAGACCCUAGAGCCACUCACAGGAGAGAGGCGAAAUUCAUCAAUUAGUCCUGAAAAGACCCAACAGUAUCUGAAAACUAUGAAUGGGGAGGGGCACUUGGUGGUUCCUGGGUAUCAGGGGAAAUUGCAGGGCAGCAGAGAGAGCUCCUGGCUACCCCACCUCUUCCAGCUUGCUUGUUCUCUCUUCCCUGGGGCUGGCUCUCUCUCUCUCCUCUUUCUACACUGCUGUCAUAUGCCAGGCUCUAGGCAAGUGUUGGUGAGGAGGGAGUGCUGAGAACAUCUUUACCUCCCUGCAAAAGCCAGGUGGUACCGGGAUCCCUAUGCCCAUAACACCGAUCCAAGAAGACCCUAAAUAAGGCCCCCUUCUCUUUCUCCCCAGCUGUGUCUCCGGCCUUCCUAUCCUUUCAGGAGAGACCCAGGAUUUUUGCAAAACCCCUUUAAGAUGCAGGACUCCUGAACGGUGACCUCACUCCUUGGCCAACCGGCCUUUAGAGCCCUCCUGCGGGAGACAGCCAGGUGUUUGAUGUAGACUAACAAAGAAGACAAGCUCAGAGCCACAGGUACAUGCGGGAACUGCAGGGACCUUCUAGAAGCCUGCCUAAGGAAGGCAGGAGGGUAGCGGAAGGAGAUCAUCCAGGGAGAGGCUGUGCCACCACAGAUGAGGAAGCAGGCUCGAAGUGGGGAAGUAACUCGUCUGGGAUUGCACAGUUCACGUUUGUGUGGAAUGCAGAGCUACAGCAGCACAUGGUCUAGUGGGAAGGUAGGGGAUUUCCUAGAAGUGACCUAGACACUGACAUCUGUACCCACUGUCAGGCCAGUGUCAUAAGAAUCUUAAGGACUAAGGGAUCUACAUGGUUGGAGUGAUCAUCCUUACCGAAGAGAGAAUGGUUUCCACCAUUUGGGUCUUAAGGCCCUUUUACGCUCUUUUAAAAAUUAAUGAGAACAAAACAAAUGAGAAAAAAAAUCCAGUUUUUGUUUAUAUCAGUUUAUCUUCUGAAGCUACCAUGUUAGAAAUGAAAACAGAGGCAUUCCAUUAGUUAUCAAAACAAUGGAGUUAUCUUUAUAACAACCCUCCAGUGUGGGCAUUAUUAAUAUCAUCAUCCCAUUUUAUAGGCAAGAAAUCAAGAUCAAUGAUGCUAAAUAGUCCUAGGGCUCCUAAAGCCAGGAUUGGACUAUAGGCAGCUUGGUUCCAGAGCUCAAGCAGUGAACUACUUUUUAUGAUACUUGGACAAUGUCUUAGUUGCUUUUCCCAUUGCUGUGAUAAGAUACCCUGACCAAAGGAAGACAAGGUGCAUUCUGCCUCACAAUUUGAGGAUAUAGUCCAUCACAAUGAAGAAAUCAAGAUGUCAGACCUUGAAGCAGUUGUUCACAUUGCCUCUGCUGUCAGGAUAAAGGGUAACAAUGGAUGCUUGUGCUCAGCCAGCUCUCUCUUUUUUCUGCAGGCUAGGACCCCUGCCUAGGGAAUGGUGCUUCCCCCUCUUUUAGGGGGGGGAUCUUCUUAUCUCAGGGUACCUGAUCAAGAUAAUCCCUCACAGGCAUGCCCAGAGGCUAACCUAAUCUAAACGAUCCCCCCACAGGUUUGUAUCCCCUUCAGAUAUAAAACUUGUCAAGUUGACAAUAAGCACUCCCCAUUACAGACAUGAUACAGCCAUCCCUUUCCUACUAGGGAGUGGCCAUUGGAACAUUCUUCUUCAGGCUUGGGCUAAGUCUGUAGCCUGUUUGGGACAAGGACAGGGCACAAAGAGUUAACCUUUCUCAAGAUAAAACUUGAAAUUGAGAGAAAAUUUCUUUCCCUAGAGGCACACCAGGCAUCCCACACCCAGGCAAGGGUGAGAAGUCUGCUCUUACAGCACAAGCCUUCCACGAGUUAUUUAUUGAAGUGUUGUGGCACCCUUGCCACAUCCCAGAGCCUCUGGAUGGAGGCUCCUCUGCAGAGUCUGUGAUUACCCAGAAAGACCAGAAAGAAAUGAGUUCUUUGAAGAGGCUGAGGUAGGAUAAAACGUGGCUGAAAUAUGCCCUCCCAUGAAAGCCUCGCCCAACCCACGUUUGCCUUUACUAGCUCAUUUUCCCUCUGUGACUAUCUGCUGAGGACUCCUGUGUGCCGUGUACCUUCUCAAUCAGAACAAUGUUUAAGCCUCACAGCAACUUUGUGCAUCCGGUCAUUUGCAAAUUCAAUCUAUCAACACUUACUAACACUGACAGUGUGCCUAGCACUUAACUGGGUACCUGGAGCAUGGUGCAGAGGAGAAGACAGAUAAGGACCUGUCUUUGGGGAAACUCUGACCAUAUGGAGAAGACAGAUGAGGAGAGAGGCAAUCAUGGGCAGCGCGGGAUAAAGAGAAGCAUGGGGUGAGGACUGGGCUAACCUAGACUAGGAGCUCAAUAAAAUAUUUGCAGUCAUUAAACUGAGGACGCCCCCCCCCCAUGGUGAAAGCUCUAGGCUAGAUCAGUACCCACAGUUCCUCUAGAUGCAUUUAGCAGAGGAAAGUGAUGCUAAGUCUUGAACAAGGAGGGUAGGGAUGUGUUUAGGAAGCUAGUAUGGAUUCAGGAUGGCCACAAACCUCCAGCCAGUAGGUGCCCAUUGCAGUGUGGGAAUCACCAUCCUUACACUUCUGUUGAUGGAACCAACUCAUUGUUGAGAAAAAGCAGACUUUGAAGGGUUCCUUUUUUUCUUGAAAGGUGGUUUUUCGGAAUGACUAGAUAAAGGGACCCAACAGGGCUGUCAUCUCUGCUUGCCUUUGUCCUGCUUGCAAGUUUUUAGCAUUUAGAAGAAAGCAUGGUCACUAACAGGUAGCCCCAAACUUACGUGCUCCAAGAUUAUCAAGUCCGCUGGGAGAGAGGUUUUCUUUCUCCUACACAGUGAGUAUGUGCCUACGUGUUUGUCCAGUUUUUAAUUUCAGAAAAAGCAUGUUGUUUCUACACUGAACUCAUGACCACCCUUGUUUGUGUGUCUUAACAAAAGCCCCUAUAGUGUUGAAAGUACACUUUCCCCCCAAAGAGACUCAAAUAAUACUAUUGUUGUAUAGCUGUUUUCUCUGAGAUUAAAAACCUUCCAUUUUGGAGAGAAACUUCUUAAGACAACAGGUUCUAAGGGGAAGUGACGUGCUACAAAGUAGCUCGUUUAAGUUUAGUAUCAGAAGUCAACAACUCAAAACAGUUUCAGGAAGUCCUUGAAAAUGAUCAGAUUCACAAGGACCCUCCCCCAAGAGUAUAUAAACAGUAAAGACUGUUGAGAGUCAACAAAAAAAGAUUCUCAGACAAGCCCCAGAGAUGCCUAAAGGAAGCAGAGGCAAGGCCAGCAGCCUGUAAGAAGGAGAAACCCGCUAACCUGCCCAGAAGAAACAAAGACCGGCAGAGAUGCCUGGAAGAGGACCAGACCAACCUGAGCCACCUGGGAAGGACACUUUCCAACCUGUUGAGCUGCUACAGGCUGUGCCAUACACUCUAGGCUUCUAGCUUUUGUGAAUUGUCACCCAUGUUGGGUAGGCUUUGGUGAUGCAGCUGCCUUUGAGUCAUUUCUGCUCCUUUAAAUAGUCCCCCACUUAUAUUCCUGUAAGUAACCCCAAUAAAACUCGUUGGUUCACUAA